AACACAGGCCUCCCCAGGCCCCAGGAUUCAGCCUUACUGGACUACCAUCUCUUUCCAAGGGCAGGGCAUGGGGACCAGGAAUGAGAGCAGCCAUCGGAUGAGCUGGUUACUUAUGAAUCAGAACUAUACCAACGUCAAACACAUGACUACUAUUCCUUGAUUGGUGGUGAUGGAGACAGCCAUAGCGAUCACUAUUGGGAUUUCUCCACACACCAUGUACACAGCGAGUUUGAGAGCUUCCCUGAGAACCACUUCACGGAGCUGCAGAGCGUGCAGCCCCCGCAGCUACAGCAGCUCUACCGCCACAUGGAGCUGGAGCAGAUGCACGUCCUUGACACCCCCAUGGCACCGCCCCAUGCCAGCCUCAGUCACCAGGU
rnacentral:lncRNA from 1 species